rnacentral:lncRNA from 1 species
UCCUCAUUAUCUAUUUAGAUAGUGCAAUUGCUGUCUUGUUCUUACUUGUCUUGGCUCAUUCUUUUGAUGCAAUCACAUGUCGAUACAAUCAUGCGGAAACUCCAUGGCAGCAGAAAGUCUUAACCCUUUUCAAAAAAAGACUGGAGUAACUCUAUAGGAGGAGAGGCUGGAGUCUUGCAGUAGUCUUGCUGGUAGUUAAACAGAUCUUGCUGCAAGCAGACGGAUUUUCAUUCUUACGAUGGAUCAUAAGAUGUUCAGAUCAUGGCCAAGUUUCAUCCUCUUCUGUGUGACUUUCUCACAUUGUUGGAGGAGUGGAGCCUUCGACUCCAUGGAGAAAGCUCAUCUGUCAGCAAUCAUAGACUACAUCAGAUGUUAUGGUGUUGACUCCCAUUAUGCUGUGGCUGUAAGACUGGAUCCAACAUACUGCAAAAACCCUACACGGAGUAAUUUGAGAAGGGCUUUGCCUCCAAGAGUGAUGGAGGACAUGAAUACUGCAUUAAGAAGAAAGGAUGGCUUAUACAACCCAAAUAUAGGAAACAUUAUGGCAGCUAGACCUAAACUUUCAUUGCCUCGAGAGCAUGCUGAAUGGCGCUUACUGGCUGGAGGCAAGGCAAGUCCCAUAGAAAAGAUGCUAGCCAAUAAGGACCAAAAUAGUUGUCUCCUCUUCUUCAGCAAACUCUCUCCCUGUGUAGAGCGCUGUCUCAAUGAAAAUGACGCGAGGAACAUUGUCCGGACAAUCAACCCCAUUUUCAACCGGUACAGAGAAGAUUCCAGGGCAUUUGUUUUUGAGACUGUUUAUGGCAGGGAUGCAGAAAAAGAGGCCAAAGUGGUGGUGGAUGCUUGGAAGCUCAUCCAGAACGCCCCACUGUUUCGGUAUCCUUUCCCUCCUGCCAAAUGCUUUGGUAACAGCAACCAGCCUCCUCACAGCACUCCUUGCUUGGACCAAUAGAUGCCCAGAAAGCCGGCAGUGCAACUCGGUGGAAAUGGUUGUCCCGCUUCCUGUUUGUCAGCUGGAUGUUGGGCUUGAUUGCCCCUAGAAUCAAAGCUGCUGAAACCCUCCCCCCUCGCCCCAAUUUUGUUCCAGGGAAGCUUUGCAUGCGAAUGUCAAUAAAUGUUCUGAGCAUUUUACA